rnacentral:lncRNA from 1 species
UUUUCAGUUGAAGAUUUCAAUUUCUGUCGUUAAGAAUUUGUACUGACCAGCAAGAAGGUUCCUUGCUUGUUCACUUUUAUAGACAUAACCAGAAGGAAGUUUGUAUGUGUGUCCAAAAUCGCUGUAUGAUUGAUUAACUUGAGGAUUGUUACAAAUAUGCAAACCAUGACCUGCGCCAAAUGUUGGUCCAUAACUAGAGUAACAGAAGAUUGCAUACUGCUCCUGACCUUGCUUGAUGUUGGCAAUAAAUGGAGCAAGGUUGUCUUUGUUGCGUAGCGAGAAUAAAAAUGACAAGUUGGAACGUUUCCAAGCACAAGCUUAA